CUCCUCGUAGUGUAACGGAUAGCACGUAAGAUUCCGGUUCUUAAGAUAGAGGUUCGACUCCUCUCGAGGGGG
rnacentral:tRNA from 7 species